GCGAAUAAUGUUGUUGUUCAGAUUCAAUAAUUGCUCUACAUAUAUUGGCCAGAAAAAAGAUUUAACAGACUUUUAAAGUGCCAGCCGUGUGCAUUGUUUCUUAGGAGCAAGCCCUCGAUUAGAGAUUCGCAUAGGGUCGGCCUCUUUUCAAACUCGUACGUGGCCAUAAAUUACAGAGUGUAGUUUGGAUGGUGGUUUUAGAUAUGGGCAAAUUGAACAGUUGCCCAGAGUUCCACACUUCACACCCUCUGCACCCAUUUUGACAUAAUUCCAGUGCGUAGAAAAGGAAACCUAAGGAAAACACUUUGCUGGCCUCUUGUUAGGACGGAAGCCAGCUGCAUCAAUAUACUCUUUGUUUCCUGACAUCUGGGACAGCCUUUUAGUAGUAAAGCAAAUGGCAAAGAGACAAUCUACUUGACUUCAAUGGAAAUUUCAUGAGAGAAGUUUCUAUAAAAGGAAGAAAACUGAACAGCUAUUGACAAAUGAGCAGAAAUGUGAUGUCUCAUUUCCUAAAAAAAUAAGGUUCAAUUGCUCUGAAGAGAAACGUCAUGUGACAUUGACUUCCAAAAUGUGAUCAUCUUUGCUGGGAAUGACAAGGAUUUGCAUGCCAGAACUGGAAUUGAAGACCU